CGUGUAGGCGGCCAUGCAAGUCGGAUGUGAAAGCCCUCGGCUCAACCGGGGAAGUGCACCCGAAACUGCAAGGCUAGAGUCUCGGAGAGGAUCGUGGAAUUCUCGGUGUAGAGGUGAAAUUCGUAGAUAUCGAGAGGAACACCGGUGGCGAAAGCGGCGAUCUGGACGAUGACUGACGCUGAGACGCGAAAGCGUGGGGAGCAAACA
rnacentral:rRNA from 1 species